GUGGGUGUAGCUCAACUGGCAGAGCACCGGACUGUGGCUCCGGACGUUGUGGGUUCGAUUCCCAUCACCCACCCCA
rnacentral:tRNA from 1 species